CCAAACUUGGUCAUUUAGAGGAAGUAAAAGUCGUAACAAGGUCUCCGUUGGUGAACCAGCGGAGGGAUCAUUAUAGAGUUUUUUUUUAACUCCCAACCCAUGUGAACUUACCUUUGUUGCCUCGGUGGUUACCUACCCGGUGCCUACCCCGUAGCCCGCCGACGGAUUUUCAAACUAUUGUUAUUAUUUGUUAUCUGAAUGUCUUAUUUAAUAAGUCAAAACUUUCAACAACGGAUCUCUUGGUUCUGGCAUCGAUGAAGAACGCAGC
rnacentral:misc_RNA from 1 species